rnacentral:rRNA from 1 species
GUGAGUGGUGCAAAGCUUUUGCGGUGUGGGAUGAGCCCGCGGCCUAUCAGCUUGUUGGUGGGGUAAUGGCCCACCAAGGCGACGACGGGUAGCCGGCCUGAGAGGGUGACCGGCCACACUGGGACUGAGAUACGGCCCAGACUCCUACGGGAGGCAGCAGUGGGGAAUAUUGCACAAUGGGCGCAAGCCUGAUGCAGCGACGCCGCGUGAGGGAUGACGGCCUUCGGGUUGUAAACCUCUUUCAGUAGGGACGAAGCGAAAGUGACGGUACCUACAGAAGAAGGACCGGCCAACUACGUGCCAGCAGCCGCGGUAAUACGUAGGGUCCGAGCGUUGUCCGGAAUUACUGGGCGUAAAGAGCUCGUAGGUGGUUUGUCGCGUUGUUCGUGAAAACUCACAGCUUAACUGUGGGCGUGCGGGCGAUACGGGCAGACUAGAGUACUGCAGGGGAGACUGGAAUUCCUGGUGUAGCGGUGGAAUGCGCAGAUAUCAGGAGGAACACCGGUGGCGAAGGCGGGUCUCUGGGCAGUAACUGACGCUGAGGAGCGAAAGCGUGGGUAGCGAACAGGAUUAGAUACCCUGGUAGUCCACGCCGUAAACGGUGGGUACUAGGUGUGGGUUUCCUUCCUUGGGAUCCGUGCCGUAGCUAACGCAUUAAGUACCCCGCCUGGGGAGUACGGUCGCAAGACUAAAACUCAAAGGAAUUGACGGGGGCCCGCACAAGCGGCGGAGCAUGUGGAUUAAUUCGAUGCAACGCGAAGAACCUUACCUGGGUUUGACAUGCACAGGACGUACCUAGAGAUAGGUAUUCCCUUGUGCCCUGGUGUGCAAAAA